rnacentral:rRNA from 1 species
GACGAACGCUGGCGGCGUGCUUAACACAUGCAAGUCGAACGAUGAAGCGGUGCUUGCACCGUGGAUUAGUGGCGAACGGGUGAGUAAUACGUGAGUGACCUACCUUUGACUCUGGGAUAAGCCUGGGAAACUGGGUCUAAUACCGGAUACGACCAAUCUCUGCAUGGGGUGUUGGUGGAAAGCGUUAUGGAGUGGUUUUAGAUGGGCUCACGGCCUAUCAGCAUGUUGGUGAGGUAAUGGCUUACCAAGGCGACGACGGGUAGCCGGCCUGAGAGGGUGACCGGCCACACUGGGACUGAGACACGGCCCAGACUCCUACGGGAGGCAGCAGUGGGGAAUAUUGCACAAUGGGCGCAAGCCUGAUGCAGCGACGCCGCGUGAGGGAUGACGGCCUUCGGGUUGUAAACCUCUGUUAGCAUCGAAGAAGCGAAAGUGACGGUAGGUGCAGAGAAAGCGCCGGCUAACUACGUG